rnacentral:rRNA from 1 species
GGAUCAUUAGCGAGUUGCAAAACUCCCAACCCACUGCGAACCAUACCCCGUACGCCUUCCGUUGCCUCGGCGGAUCGCCCCGGCCCCUAGCGGGGGCGGGUGCUGCCGCCGUCGUAACGAGGGCCUAACAACUCUGUUUUAUAUGCCGCUCUGAGUACUGCUUCUUAAUGAAUUAAAACUUUCAACAACGGAUCUCUUGGUUCUGGCAUCGAUGAAGAACGCAGCGAAAUGCGAUAAGUAAUGUGAAUUGCAGAAUUCAGUGAAUCAUCGAAUCUUUGAACGCACAUUGCGCCCGCCAGCACUCUGGCGGGCAUGCCUGUCCGAGCGUCAUUUCAACCCUCGAGCCCCCGGGCUCCGCGUUGGGGCGUCCCACGGCCGCCGUGGACCCCUAAUAUCAGUGGCGGCGCUGCCGCGCUCCCUGGGUGUAGUAGUCUAUGAUCUCACCCGGAAGGAGACGGCGGUGUCAUGCCGUUAAAUCCAGACGCCUUUCGGUGCUCUGAAUCAUAAGGUUGACCUCGGAUCAGGUAGGAAUACCCGCUGAACUUAAGCAUAUCAAUAAGCGGAGGAAAAGAAACCAACAGGGAUUGCCCUAGUAACGGCGAGUGAAGCGGCAACAGCUCAAAUUUGAAAUCUGGCCUCGGCCCGAGUUGUAAUUUGCAGAGGAUGCUUUUGGUGCGGUUCCUUCCGAGUCCCCUGGAACGGGGCGCCAGAGAGGGUGAGAGCCCCGUAUGGUCGGACGCCUAGCCUGUGUAAAGCUCCUUCGACGAGUCGAGUAGUUUGGGAAUGCUGCUCUAAAUGGGAGGUAUAUUCCUUCUAAAGCUAAAUACCGGCCAGAGACCGAUAGCGCACAAGUAGAGUGAUCGAAAGAUGAAAAGCACUUUGAAAAGAGGGUCAAACAGCACGUGAAAUUGUUGAAAGGGAAGCGCUCGUAACCAGACGUGCGCCGGGCCGCUCAUCCAGCGUUCUCGCUGGUGCACUCGGCCCGGCGCAGGCCAGCAUCGGUUUCUGCGGGGGGACAAAGGCCCGGGGAAUGUGACUCCUCCGGGAGUGUUAUAGCCCCGGGCGUAAUGCCCCCGCGGGGACCGAGGUCC